UGCAUUGAGGCACAGCAGUCGACUGGACAUCUAGGGGUAAAGCACUAUUUCGGUGUGGGCUGUGCGAGUGGUACCAAAUCAAGGCAAACUCUGAAUACUAGAUAUGACCCAAAAUAACAGGGGUCAAGGUCAGCUAGUGAGAUCGUAGGGGAUAAGCUUUAUCAUCGAGAGGGAAACAGCCC
rnacentral:ncRNA from 1 species